UCCCGCCGCGUGUUGGCUUGGUUUUCCCCCUUUUAGCCCACAGGUGCCAAAUUCUGCGGGGCGCCAGAAGGCGAAAAGGGAAAAAACCGAGCCAACACUUGGCAGGA